GCGGCACGGAACCGCUUCUCGUGUGCUACGAGGGCGGCGGCCGCGAGCUGCGACAGGAACUGGAGGAGCAGGAACACCGACUCAGCGACCAUCCACCGGGAGAACGGGAGGCGGGCGCGGGCGAGGUCGAGGACGAGGAGGACAGCGUAGGAGGCGGCGAGGAGGAAGGAGAUGGCGAGGGCGAGCUUGUAGCCGAGGCCGACGCGGACGAUGACGCGGGACUCAGAAAGCAGUGGCUUUUCGGCCUCCUCUUCGGCGGUGCCAGCACCAUCUCUCCGUCGCCGGCGGAAGCGGGAGGAAAGCUUCUGGAUGGCGAAGACGAGGAGGACGAAU
rnacentral:lncRNA from 1 species